rnacentral:lncRNA from 1 species
GUCCGGCCUAGGGGUUCUGUCGAGCCUCCAUCCCCAGUAUUCUCACGCGCUCACGCGCCACCACACACGGUGAUCGGAGGAUUAAAAAACCCUCAUUCUUUCAAGAAAAUUGCAGGUAACCUCUUCCUUUUUCAUAAUAUUAUCAGUUUUUUGCAAAAGAUCGAUUUGUAUACUCGUUGAAUAAAUAACAGAAAUAAAAAAAAACUCAAAUCACCUUUUUAAAAGAAACUUCUUGAACUUCUCUUUUAUGAAUAUGUGUAAGUAUCUUUUUAUUCUGUAAAAAAUCCCGUCCUCUGUACAGAUUUGAAGAAAGGCUUUAUAGCCCUAGGCUGUUAUGGUUUAGGAAAGAAAUCUUUGAUUUCUUUCCAUGUUUGCUUUGGUUUUUUGUCGUUGUUUCCUCUUUUGUUCGCAGGUAAACCGCGAGGAUCUCGCUCGAUCACUGAUGUCUGCGCGCUGAUGGAGCCAACGCCGGAUCGUAGCGCGAGGAGAUCUGACGAUUCUGGUGUGAUUUGCGCGUCGAUGGUGGCGCGAUGUAUGAUGGCAGAGUCGAGAAAUCACGGCGUGCUUGGUGGCGACGAUUGGGCCAUUGAAUCUAUGCGAGGUGAAACGUCGCGUCGCUUAGAGUGCCCGAAACUUCCAGAACUUUAUUGCGGUGCUGAGUUCUCAGGAAACCCUAGGGUUUCCUUGUUUGAUUUUACAACUUUGGGCCUUUUGGGCCCCAUGUAAACCUGGGUCAAGGUGUUGGGUUAUUUUUGGGGUGUAAAUGGGUUUUGGGUAGUAACGGGUCUGCUGGGUUUAAGCUAAAUGGGUCAAUAAAUUGUAAUGGGCUGUAAAUGAAAUUUGGGCUUUGUACAUGGACUAUAAUAAAUAAACAUUUAUUUAUUUUAUUUUUUUA